GUCAAGAUGGAUGAGUUGGUCUAAGGUGUCAGUUUCAGGUAUUAUUGGUCUAAAAGAGUAUGGGUUUAAAUCCCAUUCUUGACA
rnacentral:tRNA from 1 species